rnacentral:tRNA from 2 species
GCAAGUAUGCCGUAAUUGGUAGCCGGGCAGUUCUUAGGAAACUGUGGUUCUCAACCAUGUGGGUUCAAGUCCCACUACUUGUA